CCCGUUUGAUCCUGGCAGAGGUUACUGCUAUCGGUGUUCGCCUAAGCCAUGCGAGUCAUAUGUAGCAAUACUGGCGUACUGCUCAGUAACACGUGGAUAACCUGCCCUUGGGUCCGGCAUAACCCCGGGAAACUGGGGAUAAUUCCGGAUAACGCACAUAUGCUGGAAUGCUUUUUGCGUAAAAUGGAUUCGUCUGCCCAAGGAUGGGUCUGCGGCCUAUCAGGUAGUAGUGGGUGUAAUGUACCUACUAGCCUACGACGGGUACGGGUUGUGAGAGCAAGAGCCCGGAGAUGGAUUCUGAGACAUGAAUCCAGGCCCUACGGGGCGCAGCAGGCGCGAAAACUUUACAAUGCGGGAAACCGUGAUAAGGGGACACCGAGUGCCAGCAUCAUAUGCUGGCUGUCCGGGUGUGUAAAAUACACCUGUUAGCAAGGGCCGGGCAAGACCGAUGCCAGCCGCCGCGGUAACACCGGCGGCCCGAGUGGUGAUCGUGAUUAUUGGGUCUAAAGGGUCCGUAGCCGGUUUGGUCAGUCCUCCGGGAAAUCUGACAGCUCAACUGUUAGGCUUUCGGAGGAUACUGCCAGACUUGGAACCGGGAGAGGUAAGAGGUACUACAGGGGUAGGAGUGAAAUCUUGUAAUCCCUGUGGGACCACCUGUGGCGAAGGCGUCUUACCAGAACGGGUUGACGGUGAGGGACGAAAGCUGGGGGCACGAACCGGAUUAGAUACCCGGGUAGUCCCAGCCGUAAACGAUGCUCGCUAGGUGUCAGGCAUGGCGCGACCGUGUCUGGUGCCGCAGGGAAGCCGUGAAGCGAGCCACCUGGGAAGUACGGCCGCAAGGCUGAAACUUAAAGGAAUUGGCGGGGGAGCACAACAACGGGUGGAGCCUGCGGUUUAAUUGGACUCAACGCCGGACAACUCACCGGGGGCGACAGCAAUAUGUAGGCCAGGCUGAAGACCUUGCCUGAAUCGCUGAGAGGAGGUGCAUGGCCGUCGCCAGUUCGUACUGUGAAGCAUCCUGUUAAGUCAGGCAACGAGCGAGACCCA
rnacentral:rRNA from 1 species